rnacentral:rRNA from 1 species
CCUACGGGGUGCUGCAGUGGGGAAUAUUGGACAAUGGGCGAAAGCCUGAUCCAGCCAUGCCGCGUGUGUGAAGAAGGCCUUCGGGUUGUAAAGCACUUUCAGUGGGGAAGAAAGCCUUGGGGCUAAUACCCUCGAGGAAGGACAUCACCCACAGAAGAAGCACCGGCUAACUCCGUGCCAGCAGCCGCGGUAAUACGGAGGGUGCGAGCGUUAAUCGGAAUUACUGGGCGUAAAGCGCGCGUAGGCGGUCUGAUAAGCCGGUUGUGAAAGCCCCGGGCUCAACCUGGGAACGGCAUCCGGAACUGUCAGGCUAGAGUGCAGGAGAGGAAGGUAGAAUUCCCGGUGUAGUGGUGAAAUGCGUAGAGAUCGGGAGGAAUACCAGUGGCGAAGGCGGCCUUCUGGACUGACACUGACGCUGAGGUGCGAAAGCGUGGGUAGCAAACAGGAUUAGAUACCCCUGUAGUC